rnacentral:tRNA from 1 species
GCUCAGUUGGUUAAGCGUCUGACUCUUGGUUUUGGCUCAGGUCACGAUCUCACAGUUUUGUGGGUUCGAGUCCCACAUUGAACU